AAGUGCUUGUCCGACAUUUGAUUAUACACGGAGAAACUAUCAGACGAGACAACACAGUUGACUAAAACGGGUCAAAUUAUGCAUACGCAGCGGGGGUCAAAUUACACAUACGCGGCUAUAUCUAAGCCAGAGAGGCUGAAUCGGCCUUGGGAGCAGCACAAUGCUGAACCUGACUUGUGAACUUUCGUUGGUAAUUAAAAUGUUCGGUCUCCUUAGCUCCAAUAACAUUAUACUGAGUUUGUUAGGUUAUUAUUUUGUAGAAUAUACUGUAGGUUGAUAGUUGAGUAGAUAUUUAUAGUAUUCUCAUUUUUGUUGUUGUUGUUGUUGUUGUUGUUGUUGUUGUUGUUGUUGUUGUUGUUGUUGUUGUUAUUAUUAUUAUUAUUAUUAUUAUUAUUAUUAUUAUUAUUAUUAUUAUUAUUAUUAUUAUUAUUAUUAUUAUUAUUAUUAUAGUAGCAGUAGAAAGUGGCAGUAUCAAUAUGAUCUCAAAGUAAUAACGAUCAAUACUAUCAUGAUAACAAUUAUUUAGCUGCUAUUACUGUCUUCAAUGGAGGGAAGGAGACGAAAAUUUUCCUAGUGCAUUUCUAGCGCAUUUCACACCUCAGUCUAGCGCUAUUACACCCGACGUAUUUGGCAACACUGUUCAGCAUAUGGCGGCCUGACGGUCCUCAUAUUUUCGUCUUGUUCGUCUGUUUUGUGACCUGUCCCCGGCUACUGCUGUCCCCGGCUACUGCUGUCCCCGGCUACUGCUGUCCCCGGCUACUGCUGUCCCCGGCUACUGCUGUCCCCGGUUUUCACUGUGACUGAAAGAUCCGAAAUUCGAAUAAAGGAAAAAAUGAAAAAAACAAUAAAAACGAAAAUGUUGAGCAAACUAUACGUCUAGCUGCGCACCGUACUACUCGCUCUGUACAGCGCUAAGGCACAGUGUAUGUAACCAAGGAAAUGAUGAACAGCUUUGCUCGGCAUAAUUUGCGAGACUGCCUUCCAAGAACAUACAAAUUGUUAAG